AUGGCGUUCACCGACGAUUAUAAGGGCGACAAGGCCGUGGAGGCCCACGGCAACACCAAGUUGCACGUCAUCCACACCAACGACAAGAAGCAGAUGGCAAUCUCCCUCGCGCAGUACGAGCGGCACCUCAGCCUCCAGGGCCACAAGAUCGUCGACAUUGAUCUCGAGUACAACAACGAGCCUGAAGUGACGCAGAAACCCGCCCUCUGCCAGCUCUCGAUCGGCAAGAAUCACCCGGUGCUGCUCUUCCAAAUGAGCGCCACUGAAAGGUGCACCGUCUUUGACAACUUCCUCGCCGACCCCAGGUACACCUUUGCAGGCUUCUCCAUCGACGGCGACAAAACCAGGCUACAGCGCGUCAAUCUGGAGAAGAACAUCACCAACAACGAGCACAGGUGCUGGGCCACCCUGCCUCUGUCCAUGAGGCACAUCGAGUACGCGUCAAAGGACGCCUACGCAGCAACAAACACGAGAGAGCAGAGGAGAGUCAUGGCGGAGGCACUUCUGUACAAGCAGCACCGCACGUACACCAGGGAGCUCCACGACGUCCACCUCCACGGCAACCACAAGCUCCACGUCAUUUGCACAAGCAAGGGUAAAGGCAUGGACAAGAUGCUGUCCACGUUUAGGAGUAAGCUCGACGGAAUGCCCGUCAAACUAGUCGGCGUUGAUGUCGAGUACACGCACUACGUGAAGCCACAGCGGGCAGCAGUGCUCCAGCUAUGCGUAGAGAAAGAAUGCCUUGCCUACCACAUCUCUGCAGCUAAAGAUAGGCCAAUGGAACUAGACAAAUUCCUCAUGAAUGGUGAGUACACCUUCGUCGGAUUCGCUAUUGAAGGAGACAAAAGCAAGCUGAAGGUAUCUGGUUUGGAGAUCAAUUCCGACAACUCCAUUGAUAUUCAGGUGGAAUGGAGAGACCCAUAG
rnacentral:rRNA from 1 species